rnacentral:lncRNA from 1 species
UUAUAGAGAUUAACCAGUUGAUCCUAAAACCUUAAUUCCUCCUGUCAACAGAACUCUCUCGAAACCUUAAUAAAUGCCAAAUGUCUCUCAAGCAAACUAUUCUGACUCAAUCUCAUCCCACAAUCUCUACAUCUUUCUUCAUCAUCCAUUAGUACCAAUGGAUCGAAUCUCUUUUGGAGUCAAUCUCAAAUUGGUAACUGGUCUUCAACAUCUGAUUCAUGAUUAUUUGUAGGUAAUUCUAAUUCGUGCAGCCACAUUUUAGUGCAGUCAACUAAAUUCUAAUUAAUAUGUUUUCUCUCUCUCUUUGCAAUCAGAAUCUCUUCACUCUCUUCUGCUUCAAUCAAUUGCAUAACUCAAAGUCUCUAUAAGUUGUCUCUCUCUUAAUCACAUUAAGUCUUCCUCGCAAUUGGAUCUAUUUCAUGUACAUAUUGAAAAAAAAAAAACAAACUUGGAUUGACAUAAAGUUAUUUCGGUUAAAUCAAUUUAUGUAGGAUGAAGCUAAAUAUCUUCUCAUUCAUUGAUUGAAAUUAUGUAAUCAAGUAAAAUUCAGAUAUCAAGUCUGACAUUGUUGAACUCUCCACAAUGGAAUGUUCAUCCUAUUUACAACAUGUACAAUUUUGUUUCAAAAGUUCUGCCUGGCGAAGUAUUGUUCAAUGUUGUUCAAUGUACAAUUUUAGUUAUUUAUGUAUGUAGGUUUCUUUAAAAGGUGAUUACAUCCAUAUCUAAUUACUAUCUUUUACUUCACUACCCACUGCAAUUAUGCAAAUUAAGUGUGCUUCAUUUUGAGAUGGUCAAUUGUUUUGUUGUUAAUCAAUCCGAUAUUUGCAAAUUAGUAUUGAGUAAUGAUGGUUUACAUUUUUUUUUUCAGGUUAAUGAUCAAUUGUUGAACUGGAUCCAGAGCACCAAAUUGAAGUGCAAACAAGUUUUUACCAGAGGUUAUCGAUACCUUUGUGACAUGUAAGUUCUACUCGGCAAUGUUCAAUCUAUAUUCCUACAUUCUACAUUUUACAAGAUAAGUCUUCUUAAUGCUGACACAUUUAUGAUUAGAUAACCUCAAAUAUUGGAUGAUCUUAGUAAUAGAUGGUAGCCACUAGGAUGUCUUAUACUCAUGUAGGUCUCCCCCUAACAAAGAAGUAUCGACUUUUUAGGACCGCUAAGAAAAAUUAUACAACUGUAUCACACUGAAAUAUUGGAAACCAAAAUCGAAACUACAUAGCAAGAUUCAACAAUCUCUAAAUGUAAACUCAGCUAUCUGAAACAAAGAUGAGGAGCGAAGGAUGUAGGAUCUUAGUUGUAUGCUUGGUUGAAGUUAUGUAUAUGAGUGUAUAGUAGUCAUUGUGUUCACUCGCAGUGAUGACAAUUAUUAUUGCAAUCUUUACAGGACGUUAUGCUAGAACUUGCAAGUUUUAAUCAUUAUGGUAAUCUGAUUCUCUUUGGAGUUGUGACAGAAAAAAAUAAAAAACAAUCAUUUUGGUUUUCUCAUUACAAUUGCUCGUUAGGGAUGUGAGGUUGACAGUACUAUAAGUGUUCAGAUAAAACUUGGUUGGAAAAAACACCUGAAGGACAUAUUGAAAAAGUGAUUCAUAUUGAUUUGUCUGUAAACCACUUAUCUUAUGCACAAUCAUACUAUGUUACUAUGCAUCUUAAGAGGGCAUAACCUUUGUGCAUUGGAAAAAAUGGCUUAUAAGCCUUGUACUUUUAUAGGUAAUCGUUUAUGUAAUAGUAGUUUACGCAACA